rnacentral:lncRNA from 1 species
GCAGUUUCGACAUCUCCAAGGUGUCAGCCCAAGAGAAGUUAAAGCACAUGCCCAUACCAAUAUUUUCAUGUGAAUAACACUCUCCAUAAUAACCAAAAAGUGGAAACAGUACAAAUCUCCAACAACUGCUGAAUGGAUAUACAAAAUGUGGUAUAUCCCUACAAUGGAAUACUAUUCAGUAAUGAAAAAGGAAAGAAGGACGGAUACAUGCAACAACAUGGAAUAAUCUCCAAAACCUUAUGCCAACAGAAAAAAGACGUAAAACAGCACCAUCCAAACUUGAGGUUUCAAUAUUGAGACAGAUGAUGCCACGGACACACCAAGAGGGUAUGAAAAAGUUUAUAAUGCACACAAUGAGACUUUCUGGGGAUGGCAGAACAGACUUUCCAAAUUGGUCUGGUAAUGACUUGAAUAGCGAGAAAGGGGAGACCAGCUUGGGGUUUUUAUUGCGGUUAGGUGGCAGGACUCGGGUGAGGGUUCUCCUUAUGGGCAGGACUUGCAUGAUUUGAAACUCCCACAAUUACCAAAGAAGGGGAUAUCUGGAAUUUAUUAUAGGCUUCUCCAAAUGUGAGCUGAAGGGGAUGAAAGAUAGGUGUGACUUCAAAGCC